AAGCCGCGCAGGCGACCCCUCUCGCAGGGGCCGUCUCGCACUUUUAUACAAGGUUGACCUCGGAUCAGGUAGGACUACCCGCUGAACUUAAGCAUAUCAAUAAGCGGAGGAAAAGAAACCAACAGGGAUUGCCCCAGUAACGGCGAGUGAAGCGGCAACAGCUCAAAUUUGAAAUCUGGCCUUCGGGUCCGAGUUGUAAUUUGGAGAGGAUGCUUUUGGCGCGGCGCCGUCCGAGUUCCUUGGAACAGGACGCCAUANAGGGUGAGAGCCCCGUACGGGCGGCCGCCUANCCUCUGUAAAGCUCCUUCGACNAGUCGAGUAGUUUGGGAAUGCUGCUCAAAAUGGGAGGUAAAUUUCUUCUAAAGCUAAA
rnacentral:rRNA from 1 species